GGUGCUAAAGCAAUUUGAGCUAAUGGAUGUUGUGUUUUGAUUUGAUUUUUGUUUCAUGGCAUUUGAAGUACCCGAAUAAUAUUCACAGAUGCCUAUGGCAGGACUUUUUAUUUCUAUAUUUUUUUAUGUAAUAAAUCUCAAUGAUUCUUGGCUAUGCAACACUGAGAUAAGAGGAACCAAAGUGGAGAAAUGGGUCUACGGUUGAAUGGGUAAGAAGAACAAAGAGGGAGAAGGACUUCAGGGAUUAAAGUGUUAAUGGGAUUUAACUCUGGUUUUUUAAGGGUAUUUUUGGGGACUUAAAAAUACUCUCACACCUUUGACCAUGUUUAAUCCAUUGACU
rnacentral:misc_RNA from 1 species